CCURGAAAAAUCUGAAGGUGCCACCUGCCCAAUGAUUUUAAAACUUAAUAUAAACAUUUUUUAUAAAAAAUUAAAAGGACGCAGUAAUUUGACUGUGAUAAAGUAGCAUAAUCACUCGCCAUUUAAUUGGUGGAUAGUAUGAAUGGUUAAACGAGUCCUUCACUAUCUAAAAAAGAGAAAUCAUGAAAUUAAAACAAUAGUUAAGAUUCUAUUUAAGAUUGUAAGACGAAAAGACCCUAUAGAGCUUAACUACACUUUUCCUUUAAUUACAAAAUUUAHUUUAUAAAACAGGAAAAGAGGUAGUUUAGUUGGGGCGACUGCCUUCUAAAAAUAACGAAGGCAAGCUAAGUUAAUAAAAAACUUACUGUACAACCUAUAAAUUUAACAGUUACGACCGUAGGCUAUAAUGACCCGUUAAAACUUAGUAAUAAGGUUAACGAUUAAUAAAUAAAAGUUACCUUAGGGAUAACAGGACAAUUUUGUUCUAGAGAUCACAUCGAAAACAAAGUUUAUCACCUCUAUGUUGAAUUAAGAUAACCAAAUAGUGCAGAAGCUAUUAAAGGUAGGUCUGKUCCACCYUUAAAAU
rnacentral:rRNA from 1 species